CCCGUUAACGGGUGAUGGCGUGCCUUUUGUAGAAUGAACCGGCGAGUUACGAUCCCGUGCAAGGUUAAGCAGAAGAUGCGGAGCCGCAGCGAAAGCGAGUCUGAAUAGGGCGCAUGAGUACGUGGUCGUAGACCCGAAACCAGGUGAUCUACCCAUGUCCAGGGUGAAGUUCAGGUAACACUGAAUGGAGGCCCGAACCCACGCACGUUGAAAAGUGCGGGGAUGAGGUGUGGGUAGGGGUGAAAUGCCAAUCGAACCUGGAGAUAGCUGGUUCUCUCCGAAAUAGCUUUAGGGCUAGCCUCAAGGUAAGAGUCUUGGAGGUAGAGCACUGAUUGGACUAGGGGCCCCUACCGGGUUACCGAAUUCAGUCAAACUCCGAAUGCCAAUGACUUAUCCUUGGGAGUCAGACUGCGAGUGAUAAGAUCCGUAGUCGAAAGGGAAACAGCCCAGACCGCCAGCUAAGGUCCCAAAGUAUACGUUAAGUGGAAAAGGAUGUGGAGUUGCUUAGACAACCAGGAUGUUGGCUUAG
rnacentral:rRNA from 1 species